UUUUGGAGUCACUUUCCCCCCUUUUUCUGGUCUGUCUUGCAAUGUAGGAGUAUGGUGUAAGUUUAGGAGAUACAUGAAGGAAAUAAGAGUUGAUUGUUCUUGUGGGUAGAAAACUUGAAGGGGAUUGAGGAGUGACCAUAACUCAAGGAUGUGCUAAUUGGAAUGAGUUAUAUUUUGGGAGCAUAACAGGUGAGUGAAUAGCGUCCCA